GGAAGAGAAAAAGGAAAAGAAUUUCCAUUAUGCUAAGUGGUUUUGGAUUCUUCUCUGGUCAUCAGCACGAUUUUGAGAUGAUAAACUCUAUCUCAUAAAUCGUCAAUAAUUCAACCUCAAAAAUCUGUCUGAUUCAUCUCUCCGAUCAAGAUGUAUUCAAUCAGGGAAUCAUCAAGGCGAUGUAGGAGUACGAAGCAAGAGUACUUGUUGAUUCUUUGAAAGGGGAUAUCUGGAUAUUGUACAAGCAGCUCAUUAUAGACACAACACAACACAACAGUUUCGUAGUGAGCUAGAACAAAUAACAGAGUUCUCAAAUCAAGGUGAAUGUGUGUGAUCUGGGAUGGACUCCUUAGACUAAGCAGGCGACUUAAUCACUGAUUCACAGAAAGACGGUACAUAGAGCAGAAACAGAGAUUGGACGUGCGGAAGCUAGCUACAUAAGAAAAGAAGUCUCACAGUAACAUGUGUAAGGAGGGUUUGGGCAUGAGAAAAUGAACAAGAGUGAAGAUUCGUAGGGAGAAAUUGGACUGAGUUUUGAAUGGAAUUGGUCCAUGUCUGCAAAAUGUCGAGCUCCCAAAGGUCAAGGCAUUAUUCAAAUGAAGCAUACCACCGAUCACACAUCUUUCAGUGCAACCCUAACUGGUGAAAGUGAAUUUUUGGUAGAUAUUCAAAACUUACCUUUCUCACUCACUUCAGCUUGUGCUGUGUGGAAUGAAUGCAGGUGAAGGCAUUGUCUCUAGGAGCCAUGGGUUGCACUGGAAGAUGUGUGAUCGGUGCUAUGCUUCAUUUGAAUACUCAU